rnacentral:rRNA from 1 species
GACGAACGCUGGCGGCGUGCUUAACACAUGCAAGUCGAACGCAGUGGGGACGGGUGAGUAACACGUGGGUAACCUCCCAUCAGAGGGGAUAACCCUUGGAAACAGGUGCUAAACCGAUACUGAUGGAUGGACCCGCGGUGGAUUAGCUAGUUGGUGAGGUAAAGGCUCACCAAGGCCACGAUGCAUAGCUGGCCUGAGAGGGUGAUCGGCCAAACUGGGACUGAGACACGGCCCAAACUCCUACGGGAGGCAGCAGUAGGGAAUAUUCCACAAUGGACGAAAGUCUGAUGGAGCAACGCCGCGUGAGUGAAGAAGGUUUUCGGAGCGUAAAGCUCUGUUGUUGGGGAAGCGGUACUCAACCAGAAAGCAACGGCUAACUACGUGCCAGCAGCCGCGGUAAUAC